rnacentral:sRNA from 1 species
GUAGAUGCUCAUUCCAUCUCUUAUGUUCGCCUUAGUGCCUCAUAAACUCCGGAAUGACGCAGAGCCGUUUACGGUGCUUAUCGUCCACUGACAGAUGUCGCUUAUGCCUCAUCAGACACCAUGGACACAACGUUGAGUGAAGCACCCACUUGUU